GGUUUUUUAUUGUCUUUAAUGAAAUCUACAAACAUUUAAUGCAGUUUUAUGUUCUCUUUGGCAGCAUGGUCCAUUUACCAAGUGAAACUGAUAAUUACUAUUAUUCGUCAGGAUGGGAACAAAACUGAGCUCUACACAGCCAGAGACAUCGCACAUCAAUGGCUCAGAAAGGAGCUGCCGAGCGACAUCUAUUUACACAUAGUAUCUGUGUUUGAACUGUCCAGAUCCAAUACAGAAGACCUCGUAAAAACACCAUAUGAAGACCAGCUGGUAAGAACAUCAAUGCUCAACUGAUGCACCAGGUUGAUAUAUGAAUGAGGGGAAGUCAUCUUAAUGCAAAUAUAGCUGUGACAGCAUCUUUAUCAGAAAAACUUGUUUCAUACGUAUCAACUGUCUGCAAAUCUAGUACAAGUUUAAAGUUAAACAGUUGAGUAAAAUGUUCUUUUAUUCUUCAGAUGCGGUUCGGUCCCUCCAGUAGCAACAGGUAAUAUGGUAGAGAUUUACAGUUCCCAGAAUAUUGUGUGAUUUCUACCUGAAAUUAUUAAAAAAUGUACAGACAAGUUUCUUUCAUUUGUAUAUAAAACAAAACAAAAAAUUCUUUGCUUCUAAAGUUUGCCAAAUUUUCAUAAUCUGGGAAAAACAUUCAUCUUAAUAGAAAAAAAACCUACUAUAUACACUGAUGCAAUAGCGUUUGGUUGAUUAAUUGAAAUACCUGAAAACCAUUGUUGUAGAAGAGAAUAAGAACGUGGUAUCUAAACCAUGACUUUGUGUCUUCCUUGUAGUUUUCGCUGCCACGUAUACGUGAAUGUCAUCCCUGCCUUGGAUGUGGCAUAUGUGCAGUCUCUAAUAGCCACGAGGCUUAAAAAUCCCUACAACGACUCCAGUGGUUUGCUACAGCUGCAAGCAGAUGCAGAAAACAUACACACCACGCCUGUCGAUGGUUUCUUAGUUGACACCAGCAGCCCCAGUACGAUGACACAGCCUUCUCCUGUGACAAAUAUUACCACUACGACCACAAUACCAUCCUCCACGUCCUUUUCUACCACCGACUUUAGACCCCCAACCACGAGCAUCAUCACAAGUACAAGUACUACUACCGUGGCCACGGCCAUGACCAUUGCCACACACCCUGAAAAUGUUUCCGAACUGUAUUUUCAGGUUAAGGUGAACGUGUCCAUAACAGGCGGUUGUGACACAGAACAGAUCCUUAGGUCCUGGCUCAACAAUAGCCUACCAAACAACUUCAUGACAGUGCUUGAAUUUCAGCUAGUCCCCAAAGCUCAAAGGUAGAGUACCACACAUCAACUCACCCAUUUCCAGAAAUAUGUCACAUUCUGAUGAACGCAAAGGUCUUUCAAUUUGAACAACUUAAGUUACUGAUCUCACUUCCAGAAAUCAUCCUAAGCUGCAGUCAGAAUACCCUACCAGAGUAAGUAAGCAUAAAAAAGGUGUCAGUGCCUUCUUAAACCAAAAGGCUGUUUCUCCCCUGAAAGCUUCAUCUUCAUCUUUUUUACUCUUUCCCAGGUAUUAGCAUACACAGAUCCGAGGUAAGCUUCGUGUGUCUCCAUACAAUUUUAUUUAGAACUGAUUACAAUAAACAAAAAAAUUGAAAUUCUGCCUGGAGGAGGAGGAAACUGGCUGCUACUUUGUUCAUUUUUAUUUGCCUUUACGCAGGUAAUAUUAAAAAAGUAUAACAUCAUGAUGUUAUAUUUGCUAUGUACAUGAGCCCAUUGUCAUUCUGCAAACCAUAUUUAACUCUGUUACUUCCAGAAGAGAGAGCUGUAUUUUCCAGGUCCAAGUCAUGAUGCAGUCAGACAUAGAGGAAAUCGAAAACCUGAUACAAUACAUACUGCAAAAACCUUAUGAAAAUGAGUCCAUCUCCAUACGCACUGAGGACAUAGAGAUAAGCCAGAUACGUGAGUUCAAAAAGGGGGGGGGGACCCAACCCUGAAAAUCUUCUCAUUUUGAUCUCUUUCUCAAACAUCUCAUUGUUGCAGUGUCAUUUAAGUGCAAUGCAGAAAUCCGCCAAACCCUGAAAGGGCUGUUCGUGUGGCCUGAAACUUCAGGAGGAGAAACUGCGAAUCAAACGUGCCCAAAGAACCCUGACCACUACGCCACUCGACACUGGUGAGAGCUCAGACUCUUAAUCAUUUUUCAUUUGUAGUCCAAGUGAAACAUCUCACAAAAUAUGAGAUUA
ensembl:lncRNA